GAUGAACGCUGGCGGCGUGCCUAAUACAUGCAAGUCGAGCGAACGGACGAGAAGCUUGCUUCUCUGAUGUUAGCGGCGGACGGGUGAGUAACACGUGGAUAACCUACCUAUAAGACUGGGAUAACUUCGGGAAACCGGAGCUAAUACCGGAUAAUAUUUUGAACCGCAUGGUUCAAAAGUGAAAGACGGUCUUGCUGUCACUUAUAGAUGGAUCCGCGCUGCAUUAGCUAGUUGGUAAGGUAACGGCUUACCAAGGCAACGAUGCAUAGCCGACCUGAGAGGGUGAUCGGCCACACUGGAACUGAGACACGGUCCAGACUCCUACGGGAGGCAGCAGUAGGGAAUCUUCCGCAAUGGGCGAAAGCCUGACGGAGCAACGCCGCGUGAGUGAUGAAGGUCUUCGGAUCGUAAAACUCUGUUAUUAGGGAAGAACAUAUGUGUAAGUAACUGUGCACAUCUUGACGGUACCUAAUCAGAAAGCCACGGCUAACUACGUGCCAGCAGCCGCGGUAAUACGUAGGUGGCAAGCGUUAUCCGGAAAUUAUGGGCGUAAAGCGCGCGUAGGCGGUUUUUUAGUCUGAUGUGAAAGCCCACGGCUCAACCGUGGAGGGUCAUUGGAAACUGGAAAACUUGAGUGCAGAAGAGGAAAGUGGAAUUCCAUGUGUAGCGGUGAAAUGCGCAGAGAUAUGGAGGAACACCAGUGGCGAAGGCGACUUUCUGGUCUGUAACUGACGCUGAUGUGCGAAAGCGUGGGGAUCAAACAGGAUUAGAUACCCUGGUAGUCCACGCCGUAAACGAUGAGUGCUAAGUGUUAGGGGGUUUCCGCCCCUUAGUGCUGCAGCUAACGCAUUAAGCACUCCGCCUGGGGAGUACGACCGCAAGGUUGAAACUCAAAGGAAUUGACGGGGACCCGCACAAGCGGUGGAGCAUGUGGUUUAAUUCGAAGCAACGCGAAGAACCUUACCAAAUCUUGACAUCCUUUGACAACUCUAGAGAUAGAGCCUUCCCCUUCGGGGGACAAAGUGACAGGUGGUGCAUGGUUGUCGUCAGCUCGUGUCGUGAGAUGUUGGGUUAAGUCCCGCAACGAGCGCAACCCUUAAGCUUAGUUGCCAUCAUUAAGUUGGGCACUCUAAGUUGACUGCCGGUGACAAACCGGAGGAAGGUGGGGAUGACGUCAAAUCAUCAUGCCCCUUAUGAUUUGGGCUACACACGUGCUACAAUGGACAAUACAAAGGGCAGCGAAACCGCGAGGUCAAGCAAAUCCCAUAAAGUUGUUCUCAGUUCGGAUUGUAGUCUGCAACUCGACUACAUGAAGCUGGAAUCGCUAGUAAUCGUAGAUCAGCAUGCUACGGUGAAUACGUUCCCGGGUCU
rnacentral:rRNA from 1 species